rnacentral:rRNA from 1 species
CCUACGGGGGGCUGCAGUGGGGAAUAUUGCACAAUGGGGGAAACCCUGAUGCAGCGACGCCGCGUGAGUGAAGAAGUAAUUCGUUAUGUAAAGCUCUAUCAGCAGGGAAGAAAAUGACGGUACCUGAGUAAGAAGCCCCGGCUAACUACGUGCCAGCAGCCGCGGUAAUACGUAGGGGGCAAGCGUUAUCCGGAUUUACUGGGUGGAAAGGGAGCGUAGACGGCAGUGCAAGUCUGGAGUGAAAGGCGGGGGCUCAACCCCCGGACUGCUCUGGAAACGGUACGGCUGGAGUGCAGGAGAGGUAAGUGGAAUUCCUAGUGUAGCGGUGAAAUGCGUAGAUAUUAGGAGGAACACCAGUGGCGAAGGCGGCUUACUGGACUGUAACUGACGUUGAGGCUCCAAAGCGUGGGGAGCAAACAGGAUUAGAUACCCGUGUAGUC